UACGUAGGGGGCAAGCGUUAUCCGGAAUUACUGGGUGUAAAGGGUGCGUAGGCGGCACACUAAGUCAGCUGUGAAACCCCGCGGCUCAACCGCGGACUUGCAGUUGAAACUGGUGAGCUUGAGUACAGGAGGGGAAAGCGGAAUUACUAGUGUAGCGGUGAAAUGCGUAGAUAUUAGUAAGAACACCGGAGGCGAAGGCGGCUUUCUGGACUGAAACUGACGCUGAGGCACGAAAGCGUGGGGAG
rnacentral:rRNA from 1 species